CUGUAGUCGUUCCGGUAUCCGUAUGUUUUCACCGGUCCCGUAGAUUUUUUUCGGUCUGGUGGCAAUUGGCAAACGGGUGAGUAAUGUUUCGGAACGUGCCCAGUAGCGGGGGAUAACUACCCGAAAGCGUAGCUAAUACCGCAUACGCCCUACGGGGGAAAGCAGGGGAUCGUAAGACCUUGCACUAUUGGAGCGGCCGAUAUCGGAUUAGCUAGUUGGUGGGGUAACGGCUCACCAAGGCGACGAUCCGUAGCUGGUUUGAGAGGACGACCAGCCACACUGGGACUGAGACACGGCCCAGACUCCUACGGGAGGCAGCAGUGGGGAAUUUUGGACAAUGGGGGAAACCCUGAUCCAGCCAUCCCGGGGGGGGGAGGAAGGCCUUCGGGUUGUAAAGCACUUUUGGCAGGAAAGAAACGUCGCGGGUUAAUACCCCGCGAAACUGACGGUACCUGCAGAAUAAGCCCCGGCUAACUACGUGCCACGCCCGCGGUAAUACUAGGGGUGCAAGCUUAAUCGAAUUACUGGGCGUAAAGUGGCAGGGGGUU
rnacentral:rRNA from 1 species